rfam:Aedes albopictus isolate Foshan contig31642, whole genome shotgun sequence.
CGCUGGCCAGCCUGAAAUUUGCUAAACCUGUGUGUAUUUGAUUCGAACAAUCAAGGUGAGCAAAUUUUCAGGUGUGUCGGAGA